rnacentral:rRNA from 1 species
GACGAACGCUGGCGGCGUGCCUAACACAUGCAAGUCGAACGGGGCGAUUCCUUCGGGGAUCGCUUAGUGGCGAACGGGUGAGUAACGCGUGAGGAACCUGCCUUUCAGUGGGGGACAACAGUUGGAAACGACUGCUAAUACCGCAUAACAUGUACGGAUCGCAUGGUCUGUACAUCAAAGCUUUAUGUGCUGAAAGAUGGCCUCGCGUCUGAUUAGCUAGUUGGUGGGGUAACGGCCCACCAAGGCGACGAUCAGUAGCCGGUCUGAGAGGAUGAACGGCCACAUUGGGACUGAGAUACGGCCCAGACUCCUACGGGAGGCAGCAGUGGGAAUAUUGGGCAAUGGGGGGAAACCCUGACCCAGCAACGCCGCGUGAAGGAAGAAGGCCCUCGGGGUUGUAAACUUCUUUUACCAGGGACGAAGAACGUGACGGUACCUGGAGAAAAAGCCACGGCUAACUACGUG